rnacentral:rRNA from 1 species
ACGGAAGGCAGCAGUGGGGAAUAUUGGACAAUGGGCGCAAGCCUGAUCCAGCGACGCCGCGUGAGUGAAGAAGUAUUUCGGUAUGUAAAGCUCUAUCAGCAGGGAAGAUAAUGACGGUACCUGACUAAGAAGCCCCGGCUAACUACGUGCCAGCAGCCGCGGUAAUACGUAGGUGGCAAGCGUUGUCCGGAUUUACUGGGUGUAAAGGGUGCGCAGGCGGGACUGCAAGUUGGAUGUGAAAUACCGGGGCUUAACCCCGGAACUGCAUCCAAAACUGUGGUUCUUGAGUGGAGUAGAGGUAAGCGGAAUUCCGAGUGUAGCGGUGAAAUGCGUAGAUAUUCGGAGGAACACCAGUGGCGAAGGCGGCUUACUGGGCUCUAACUGACGCUGAGGCACGAAAGUGUGGGUAGCAAACAGGAUUAGAUACCCUGGUA